rnacentral:antisense_RNA from 1 species
GUACUGGUCUGUGGCGGUGGUUGUCGGCUGUACUGCCAGGAAAACUCGGCACUGACUAUCCCACUGCUGAUGCUGUAAAAGAGGUCCUUCUGCUAUGACUCAACUGUGGUUCAUCUGGUUCUGGGGACACUUAGGCCCUGCGUGCCGAUUUUCAUAGUUCCCUGUGGCUCCGAGCCGAGGGAGCCGCGGUGUGGAAUGGAGGGAACCAGUGAUCACAGUGCUGAAGAAAACAGGGAGUGUGUGUCUUCAUACUUGACUUGCCUUGCCGCAGGGGCUUAAUAUGAGAUGUCUGGGCGUGUUAAGUUGUUCUUGAUGAAAUGUGUCCUCUGUGAAUGUAGUCUCACUGUUAGACUAGGAAGAUGCUGUUUUGCUGUGCCCAGUUCCUCUUAAAAGUACAGAUGCUCCUUGGGUUGCAGCCGUAUAAACCCAUCCUAAAUCGAAAAUGCGUUUUAAUACCCUUAUAAACGAAAAGGAUAAAUAAGCCUUUGGGUUCUGUAAUAUGAGCUAGCAUUCUUUGAGUGCGUAUGUGACAGGAACCAAAGAGAAGUGAAGGAAUGUGUCCAAGGGCUCCCAAGUUGGCGGUGGAAUUAGAAUUGAAGCCUCAGCUCCAAAGCCUGUGUUCUGAACUACCCGGUUGCAGCUCACAAAAUAGACUUUGGCAGUACUUUCAUAACGAAAACAAAUGAUUACAACCAGUUUACAAAUGCUUUGCUUUACUUUACUGGAGGAUCGACAUGUUUGACUACUUUUCAAAAAUAAAUCUCAGAAGCAGCG